UCCCCGUUACCGAGGCGGUUUGAAUAGAAAAAUACAACUAUUCACAAGGGUUGCGCUCGUUGAUGGACUUAACCAAACAUCUCACGACACGAGCUGACGACGGCCAUGCAACACCUGUCACUUGGCUCCCAAAGGCACUUUCUACUUUCAUAGAAAUUCCAAGGAUGUCAAACCCUGGUAAGGUUCUUCGUUUAGCGUCGAAUUAAAGAACACGCUCCACCGCUUGUGCGGGUCCCCGUCAAUUCCUUUAUGUUUUAGUCUUGCGACCGUACUCCACAGGCGGGAUACUUAACGCGUUAGCUUCGCUACUGAAGGGGUCGAUACCUCCAACAGCUAGUAUCCAUAGUUUACGGCGUGGACUAC
rnacentral:misc_RNA from 1 species